rfam:Mycobacterium abscessus subsp. abscessus strain 57 genome assembly, contig: ERS244815SCcontig000022
GCGCCGUUAGCUCAGUUGGUAGAGCAGCUGACUCUUAAUCAGCGGGUCCGGGGUUCGAGCCCCUGACGGCGCA